rnacentral:lncRNA from 1 species
UACAAUGUGCAUAAAAAGCAUUCAUAGAUACAGAUGAAGCUGUGCAAAUGGCACACGAAAGGGCUAGACAGCAGAGUUCUGUGACCUCUGUUUGGGGACAGAGGCAAGAAUAACAGCAUGUUACAUAGUAACAUUGUUUCAAAGAGGAGCUGAUUGCCUUUGCAGAUCACUCUCCUCUAGCCUUUAUUUUCUGCUCCCUCUUCCUCAUUCUGGGAGGGAAUCUUGUAUAGAUGUUCUGUUUAGAGCUGAGUGCUCCCCACUCUUCAGAGCUGAGUGCUCCCCACCUUCAGAGCUGAGUGCUCCAGUCUUCCGAGCUGAGUAUCCAUACUCUUCAGAGCUGAGAGCUCCAUACUCUUCAGAGCUGAGAGCUCCAUACUCUUCAGAGCUGAGUGCUCCAGUCUUCAGAGCUGAGUGCUCCAUACUCUUCAGAGCUGAGUGCUCCCCACCUUCAGAGCUAAGUGCUCCACACUCUUCUGGGCUCAGAGCUUGGUGCUCCACACUCUUUAGAGUUCAGUGUGACACACUCCGUUAUUUUCUAUAUGUUGACAAGUUAUGGGUCUUUUAAUUAAUCAUUGACUGUAUAAAGAAACCUUCCG